GACGUAGGGCGCGAGCGUUGUCCGGAUUUAUUGGGCGUAAAGAGCUCGUAGGCGGCUUGUCGCGUCGGCUGUGAAACCCGCGGCUCAACUGUGGCGGGCAGCUGAUACGGGCAGGCUGGAGUUCGGUAGGGAGACUGGAAUUCCUGGUGUAGCGGUGAAAUGCGCAGAUAUCAGGAGGAACACCGGUGGCGAAGGCGGGUCUCCUGGGCCGAUAACUGACGCUGGAGGAGCGGAAAGCGUGGGAGCAAACACGG
rnacentral:rRNA from 1 species